rnacentral:snRNA from 1 species
UUUUUCCAGCAUGCAGCACGAAAU